GUCUAGGUCAUGUAUUUCGACGUAUGUGUAUAACUUAUUAGUCUUGCUGAUCGGACAUAACGCCGCAGUGAAAAAGCAGAAGGGGAGGCCGCCAGUACCUCUACCUCACUGAAGGGGGCGUGUGUGAGCAUGUAGCUUGUUCUGCUAUUGUUUUUCUUCACAUAUUACAGACAAAUGGCAUUGUGGGUAAUAUGCUAGCUAAAAAAAAAAAAGGAAAGUGCACCGCAUCAGUCCGUCUAUUCAAAUUUUUUGCCCUGGCUGCAAAAAUGGAAGAUUAUAUAUAUGUAAGCUAAAACAUUUCUGAAAGCUGGACUUUCGAUCAAAACUGGAAGUGAUAAAUGAUGAUAAAUACGGUAUUAAAAAGUAUUCGAUUUGAAGUGUUGAUAACUGCAGACGCUGAACUGUACGUUCAGUACGACAUUGUGAAAGUGUAGAAGAGCAGCAUUUUAAUUGAACUCUCUUCCUCUGCCUGUCUGUAUUGCGCUGUUGUGCAGUGAGGUUUGUUAUGCACUUCUACACACUUGUCAUGUGGUGAGAGCCUCACCUCUGCUGAAUAAGAAACUCUGCGGACGGAGGAACUUUCAGGGACACGCAGCGUUCAGGGGGGACGAAAAUGGAGUUUCACUGUAACUCUGUGGAAAGCCGGUCUCUUCGUUCGGUUCGGUCUUUGGGUGGCCGUGACUUUUGACCUCCGCUAAUGAAAAGUCCUCCUGAGACUUUGUUUAGCCUUUGCCAUGUGUGGAAAGCCAUUAUUAUUACUGCGCUCAGAGCAUGUCCGGGUCCACCCGAGAGAGAGAGAACAAAUGCCUGAAGGACGCUUGGAGCUACUCACUGAGGGAGAAGGCACUGUCAAGAGAGAAAGACUGUUUUUACCCACAAUGCCUUUAGUCAGCAGUGACCUCUGAUCCAUCCUGCAUCUGCUUCUCCCAGCUGAGGUGGAGUGAACUCACACUGACCUCUCGACGUGGGACAGAGCUCAGAGCAGCUGGGUCUGAGAGGAAGGUGUGGCGAGGAUAAAACACUUGCUGAAGAAGCUCCACAGUUCCACACUGAUACACAAACUCAUAGCCUGUGUGUCUGUUUAUCUCAGUGAAGGAGGUGGGGCUUCUGUAUCAGUCUCAGUGAAGGAGGUGGGGCUUCUGUAUCAGUCUCAGUGAAGGAGGUGGGGCUUCUGUCUCAGUGAAGGAGGCGUGGCCUUUGUAUCUGUCAGUCUCGGUGAAAGAAGUGUGGCUUCUGUAUCAGUGAAGGAGGAGUGGCCUGUGUGCUAGUCUCAGUGAAGGAGGAGUGGCCUGUGUGUUAGUCUCAGUGAAGGAGGUGUGGCUUCUGUAUCAGUCUCAGUGAAGGAGGCGUGGCCUUUGUGUCUGUCAGUCUCGGUGAAGGAAGUGUGGCUUCUGUAUCAGUGAAGGAGGAGUGGCCUGUGUGCUAGUCUCAGUGAAGGAGGAGUGGCCUGUGUGUUAGUCUCAGUGAAGGAGGUGUGGCUUCUGUAUCAGUCUCAGUGAAGGAGGCGUGGCCUUUGUGUCUGUCAGUCUCGGUGAAGGAAGUGUGGCUUCUGUAUCAGUGAAGGAGGAGUGGCCUGUGUGCUAGUCUCAGUGAAGGAGGAGUGGCCUGUGUGUUAGUCUCAGUGAAGGAGGUGUGGCUUCUGUAUCAGUCUCAGUGAAGGAGGCGUGGCCUGUGUGUUCGUCUCAGUGAAGGAGGCGUGGCUUCUGUAUCAGUCUCAGUGAAGGAGGCGUGGCUUCUGUAUCAGUCUCAGUGAAGGAGGUGUGGCCUUUGUGUCUGUCAGUCUCGGUGAAGGAAGUGUGGCUUCUGUAUCAGUGAAGGAGGUGUGGCUUCUGUAUCAGUCUCAGUGAAGGAGGCGUGGCCUGUGUGUUCGUCUCAGAGAAGGAGGUGUGGCUUCUGUAUCAGUCUCAGUGAAGGAGGCGUGGCCUGUGUGUUCGUCUCAGAGAAGGAGGUGUGGUUUCUGUAUCAGCCUCAGUGAAGGAGGCGUGGCUUCUGUAUCAGUCUCAGUGGAAGAAGUGUGGCUUGUGUAUCGGUAACAGUGAAGAAGGUGUGGCUUCUGUAUCAGUCUCAGUAAAGGAGGCAUGGCUUAUGUGUUAGUCUCAGUGAAGGAGGCGUGGCUUCUGUAUGAUGACCUAUAUGCUUGUCAAUCUCAUUGAAAGAGGUGUGACCUGUGUCUGUCAGUUCCCUAAAAGAUGCCAUAUUCUAUAUUUCUGUGAGUUCCUGUGUGGUAUCUCACUGAUUGUGUGGCCCACACACACACCUACACACACUCUCUCUCACACA
ensembl:lncRNA